UCCGUAGGUGAACCUGCGGAAGGAUCAUUACCGAGUUCAUGCCCUUCGGGGUAGAUCUCUCACCCUUUGUAUACUAUACCUUUGUUGCUUUGGCGGGCCGCCUAGCUACUGGCUUCGGCUGGUAAGUGCCCGCCAGAGAACCCAAAACCCUGAAUUAUUAGUGUCGUCUGAGUAAAAUAUUUAAUAUUUAAAACUUUCAACAACGGAUCUCUUGGCUCUGGCAUCGAUGAAGAACGCAGCGAAAUGCGAUAAGUAGUGUGAAUUGCAGAAUUCAGUGAAUCAUCGAAUCUUUGAACGCACAUUGCGCCCCUUGGCAUUCCGAGGGGCAUGCCUAUUCGAGCGUCAUUAUCACCCCUCAAGCCUAGCUUGGUGUUGAGACCUGCUGUCAAGGCAGUCUCUAAAAUCAGUGGCAGUGCUGUCAGGCUCUAAGCGUAGUAAAUUCAUCGCUAUAGACACCUGGUGGCCACUCGCCAGAACCCCCCCAUUUUUUAAUGAUUGACCUCGGAUUAGGUAGGGAUACCCGCUGAACUUAAGCAUAUCAAUAAGCGGAGGAAAAGAAACCAACAGGGAUUGCCUCAGUAACGGCGAGUGAAGCGGCAAAAGCUCAAAUUUGAAAUCUGGCUCUUUUAGGGUCCGAGUUGUAAUUUGUAGAAGAUGUUUCGGGUGUGGCUCCGGUUUAAGUUCUUUGGGAUAUUACAUCAUAGAGGGUGAGAAUCCCGUAUGUGACCGGCAGCCUUCGCCUAUGUGAAACUCUUUCGACGAGUCGAGUUGUUUGGGAAUGCAGCUCAAAAUGGGAGGUAUAUUUCUUCUAAAGCUAAAUAUUGGCCAGAGACCGAUAGCGCACAAGUAGAGUGAUCGAAAGAUGAAAAGCACUUUGGAAAGAGAGUUAAACAGUACGUGAAAUUGUUGAAAGGGAAACGCUUGAAGU
rnacentral:sRNA from 1 species